AGGCCUGGACCAGGUUUGAUUCUAUAACGGUCCAGCAUCGACGGCCAUCACUGCUGAAUCGAGGCUGUUGCUCUGGCCUGGACCAGUAUCUAUUUCAGUCCCGAUGUAGUCAUAGCUGAUACAGUAAUGUCUGUUCGUCAGCACUGGUCCAGGCUGUAUAUCAGUACUGGAUCAGAUCGAUGCUUUUCAAGAUGGCAGCCCCGCGUGGACUAUCUGACAUGUUUUGUUAAAGAAAAUCAUCUUAAUCUGACUCUUUAAGAGAAAUCUCGUUGGCUGUAUACACUAGGGCUACAUCACUGGAUGUUAUGCUAUUUUGAACCAUUUAUUACUUAAACAUGAGUAGGAUACACGAUAUUUUGAGUAAAAAAUACAUGACUGGAAAAUAAUACGACUGACAACUUCCAAUUAAAGUUUACCACAUCUUGCCUACAAAAUCUCUAUGAUACGAAAGUAGAGACCUGGGUUUAUGAGGAAUUAUCAAAGGGGUAUAAACUGCAUGAACAAACUUAUAAUAAAUUUAGGCUAAUUAUUAUUGUGAGAUUAAUGACUUCAAUUUAAUUGACUAUAAUUAGAAGUACAUACCUUUCAUUAUGGAUUCUCCGUUAACUUUCUAGUAUUGAGCCAAACAUUGAAACAGAGCGAGAAGACCUUUCUGCAAUAAUCAUGACACUAGUGAAGAUGAUGAGAAAUUAGGCGUAAAAAUGGUUCACUACAUGUGAUUGUAACUAUGUUUUUAAUUAGGGUGAAUGUAUUAGUGAUCAUGAUGAUGAAGAUAUUGUACUGAGAGACUUAUGAAUGAUAGUCACAAGUGUGAAUUUUUGAUGCGGAAGAUUAUUCUGGAAAUAUUAGUAUAGCCACUAGUAUACAUUCUAUAGUUACCUUAUCUCACUAAGUUUCAAGACAAGAAUAUCUUAGGUUUGUUUAAUUUCAUGUGAAAAGCUAAAUUCAUUAUUCAGGUUGUGAUGAACUGAAACUUUCUUGUUUAAAGCUCUUGUUAAAUUCACUUCAAAUAGCAUUGAAUUUUUUGUGAACCUGCCUUCAUCAUGCUGGUUAAGGAAGUUAUGUUAUGGAUCUAAGCUUUGUAGGACUAUGUGUUACAAGAUACCUUUAAAAGAUCUGCUUCACUACAUGGAACCCCAGAGUUCAUUAAUGUUGGAGAUUUUUGGAAAUUAAUUUCUCAGUAAUGUGUCUUAAGUUACAAAACAUGAAGUGUCUUACUUGUGGAACAUUGGUAGACUAUGA